rnacentral:rRNA from 1 species
GACGAACGCUGGCGGCGUGCCUAACACAUGCAAGUCGAGCGAAUGAAGUUCCUUCGGGACUGGAUUUAGCGGCGGACGGGUGAGUAACACGUGGGCAACCUGCCUCAUAGAGGGGAAUAGCCUCCCGAAAGGGAGAUUAAUACCGCAUAAGAUUGUAGUACCGCAUGAUACAGCAAUUAAAGGAGCAAUCCGCUAUGAGAUGGGCCCGCGGCGCAUUAGCUAGUUGGUGAGGUAAUGGCUCACCAAGGCGACGAUGCGUAGCCGACCUGAGAGGGUGAUCGGCCACAUUGGGACUGAGACACGGCCCAGACUCCUACGGGAGGCAGCAGUGGGGAAUAUUGCACAAUGGGGGAAACCCUGAUGCAGUAACGCCGCGUGAGUGAUGACGGCCUUCGGGUUGUAAAGCUCUGUCUUCAGGGACGAUAAUGACGGUACCUGAGGAGGAAGCCACGGCUAACUACGUG